GUGAGGAAUUUUCCGCAAUGGGCGAAAGCCUGACGGAGCAAUGCCGCGUGAAGGAUGAAGGCCUAUGGGUUGUAAACUUCUUUUCUCAGAAAAGAAUUAUGACGGUAUCUGAGGAAUAAGCAUCGGCUAACUCUGUGCCAGCAGCCGCGGUAAGACAGAGGAUGCAAGCGUUAUCCGGAAUGAUUGGGCGUAAAGCGUCUGUAGGUUGUUUAAAAAGUAUUCUGUCAAAGAUUAGGGCUUAACCCUAGAUAGGCAGAAUAAACUUUUAAGCUAGAGUUUUGUAGAGGCAGAGGGAAUUCCCGGUGGAGCGGUGAAAUGCGUAGAUAUCGGGAGGAACACCAAAGGCGAAGGCACUCUGCUGGGCCAAUACUAACACUGAGAGACGAAAGCGAGGGGAGCAAAUGGGAUUAGAUACCCGGGUAGUCC
rnacentral:rRNA from 1 species